GACGAACGCUGGCGGCGUGCUUAACACAUGCAAGUAGAAAGAUGAAGCCGGAGCUUGCUCUGGUGAAUUAGUGGCGAACGGGUGAGUAACACGUGAGUAACCUGCCCUUGACUCUGGGAUAACUGCGGGAAACUGUAGCUAAUACCGGAUACGACCCUCGGAGGCAUCUCCUGGGGGUGGAAAGAAUUUCGGUCAAGGAUGGACUCGCGGCCUAUCAGCUAGUUGGUGAGGUACCGGCUCACCAAGGCGACGACGGGUAGCCGGCCUGAGAGGGUGACCGGCCACACUGGGACUGAGACACGGCCCAGACUCCUACGGGAGGCAGCAGUGGGGAAUAUUGCACAAUUGGCGCAAGCCUGAUGCAGCAACGCCGCGUGAGGGAUGGCGGCCUUCGGGUUGUAAACCUCUUUUAGCAGGGAAGGAGCGAAAGUGACGGUACCUGCAUAAAAAGCACCGGCUAACUACGUGCCAGCCGCCGCCGUAA
rnacentral:rRNA from 1 species